GUACGGGGGGGGGCAAGCGUUGUUCGGAAUUACUGGGCGUAAAGGGCUCGUAGGCGGCCAACUAAGUCAGACGUGAAAUCCCUCGGCUUAACCGGGGAACUGCGUCUGAUACUGGAUGGCUUGAGGUUGGGAGAGGGAUGCGGAAUUCCAGGUGUAGCGGUGAAAUGCGUAGAUAUCUGGAGGAACGCCGGUGGCGAAGGCGGCAUCCUGGACCAAUUCUGACGCUGAGGAGCGAAAGCCAGGGGAGCAAACGGG
rnacentral:rRNA from 1 species